UCCAACUCACCGACAAACAAAGAAACAGGUAAGCAAGCUACUUUAUUUCUUUUAAAUUGCCAUAAAGGCAUUACAUAAAGGGGGACACUACAACACAUGUGGAGACAUAUAACAAUUAAAAUAAAAAUAUGAUGCUAUGAAUGACACAUGAAAAUGAACAUGAAAAACAUUAAAAUCAAAAUAUUAAAAUGAUACGUGAAUGAUAACUGAGAAAUGAGAAUAUGAAAAGUGUGUUACUCAUCCCACACUGAGUAACACCACUCGCCACCUCUGAGUCCUGAGUCAUCUUUAGUCUUUAAUCUAAUCUUUCCUUUACCGUUUUCCCCAUCGCUGAGUGACAACACUCUCUCCUCCAUAUACAUGUAACAUUUUUCACCGGGUGAGGGGUUCUUGUAAAUUUUGUGGUGUCUGUUCUUUCUUCUUUUUUUCCUGUGGGGAGAGGGGGUGGGUGGAUUUGGUGUAUGUAUGGGGAUGAUGGGUCUGAGUGGUCUUGUGUGGGAUGGAGUUGGUCUGGGUCCCACAUCGCAUUGACUGUUCUUCCUCUUCUUUCUCUUUUUCCUUUUAUUCUCUGUCACUGUCUAUUCAUCCUCCUUGUUCCUUCCAUCUAUCUGUACUACUUCCUUUUACUCCUCCGUCUCCAACACCGUUUCUUCUGUCGUUUUCCGCUGUAGAGAGCAGUGCGCCCUAAUGUGGCCCUUUCGGCCACAUUUAAAGCAGCGCGGGAUUCUGCCCUCCACCCACACUCUUAGAACUAUCUCGCCCAACGAUAAUGUCUUUGCCAAAUUUUCCAAUUGUUUUUCCUCAGUCUGAAUGAUAACUUCAAGCGACUUUUAAAUCUUCCUUCUUCCGUUUCUGUGGCCUGGAGGACAGCCACUUCUUCCUCACUUCCAAUGAAGACGGCUGCCGCAACCCAAGCCACAUUUAUAUCAGGCGGGAUUCCUUCUACUUUUAUCUUGGAAGUUCUUCUUCCAAGAUACGUGGGUAGAAGGACCACUUCCUCCGUCUUUACUGUUUUACCUGCCAGCCUCCUUGCCUCUUCCUCUGUUCUAAACUGGACUACCAUUAUCCCAUGUUGGCAUCAUCUUGUCAUGUAUAUUACUCCGUUGGAUUCCUCCUUUACUGCCUUUUCUAUUUUCUCUAUUUCUAUUUGGUCGACCUUGUUACAUUUUAUCGAGUAAACUUUGUAUAUGACCGUUCUUCUCUUUAUACCAUCCAUGAUUCUUUGUGGGACGACAACAUCACGUUGCCGCCUACUUUCUGCACCAUUUUCCCGUGCUCCUUCAUUCUUGAUAGGUCCACUUCUCUUCUCUUCACCUCCGCGGCCUCGGCGAAACUCUUCAUUUUCUUCAAACAUUCAUCCAUGCCUUCUACUGCUCUCACCAGUUCCUCCUCUGAAGAAGACAGCUCAGACCCGCUAAGGUCUGAGUACAUCAAUUCUACCCUCAAAGCAGCAAAAAAAUAACGUCCGACUCGCACGCAAACGACAAAUCAAAUGCACUCUGGGUAACCGGAAGCCAGAUGGCAAUGAGCAGGAGAAACAGAAAUAUUAGAUGAGUUUAUGUUUUGUAUUUGUAAGUGCAAAACGUAAAGCGAAGAGAAAGAAAGAAUGUGGAGGACCAACUUUUGAUAUCAAAAUACGUCCGUUGGCUAAAUAUUGUGGCGUUAAUGGAAACACAAAGCAUACAUUGAAUGCGAUUGGUGAAUAGCUAAUGUAGACGAUUGUGAUGGUAAAUAUUGGACAACCUAUUGGUUGUCAAUCUAGGCUACUGAAUGACAAUGAAAAGAAACUGUGGUUAAUGGUUGUCCAACCGUAGCUAAGCCAAGACAGUUUAAAACAAUAGAUGACCAAUUAGAUGAGGGGACUGAACAGCAAAAAUUACCCCUCCCCACUACCAGCAGGAUUCUAACUUCUCCAUAAGCAGAAAAAUAACCGAGUAACUCAUCGCAGGUUUACGGAAGUCUGGACAUUAUUGUAACGAUCCUCACGAAAUAUUUUUUUAUA